rnacentral:rRNA from 1 species
UACGUAGGGCGCAAGCGUUAUCCGGAAUUAUUGGGCGUAAAGAGCUCGUAGGCGGUUUGUCGCGUCUGCCGUGAAAGUCCGGGGCUCAACUCCGGAUCUGCGGUGGGUACGGGCAGACUAGAGUGAUGUAGGGGAGACUGGAAUUCCUGGUGUAGCGGUGAAAUGCGCAGAUAUCAGGAGGAACACCGGUGGCGAAGGCGGUUCUCUGGGCAUUGACCUGACGCUGAGGAGCGAAAGUGUGGGGAG